rnacentral:rRNA from 1 species
AUUGAACGCUGGCGGCAUGCCUUACACAUGCAAGUCGAACGGUAACAGGUCUUCGGAUGCUGACGAGUGGCGAACGGGUGAGUAAUACAUCGGAACGUGCCUAGUAGUGGGGGAUAACUACUCGAAAGAGUGGCUAAUACCGCAUGAGAUCUACGGAUGAAAGCAGGGGAUCGCAAGACUUUGUGCUACUAGAGCGGCCGAUGGCAGAUUAGGUAGUUGGUGGGAUAAAAGCUUACCAAGCCGACGAUCUGUAGCUGGUCUGAGAGGACGAUCGGCCAAACUGGGACUGAGACACGGCCCAGACUCCGACGGGAGGCAGCAGUGGGGAAUUUUGGACAAUGGGCGCAAGCCUGAUCCAGCAAUGCCGCGUGCAGGAUGAAGGCCUUCGGGUUGUAAACUGCUUUUGUACGGAACGAAAAGCCCUGGGUUAAUACCCUGGGGUCAUGACGGUACCGUAAGAAUAAGCACCGGCUAACUACGUGCCAGCAGCCGCAGUAAAAC